rnacentral:rRNA from 1 species
UACGUAGGGGGCAAGCGUUGUCCGGAUUUAUUGGGCGUAAAGAGCUCGUAGGUGGCCUGUCGCGUCGGCUGUGAAAACUCGGGGCUCAACUCCGAGCUUGCAUUCGAUACGGGCAGGCUAGAGUUCGGUAGGGGAGACUGGAAUUCCUGGUGUAGCGGUGAAAUGCGCAGAUAUCAGGAGGAACACCGGUGGCGAAGGCGGGUCUCUGGGCCGAUACUGACGCUGAGGAGCGAAAGCGUGGGGAGCGAACAGG